rnacentral:lncRNA from 1 species
CUGAGAAAACAAUUAAUAAGGCAAAAGGAGUCUUAAAAAUAUAUACAAUUAAUACCUUCAGAAAGCCAGGAGGAAAUCACAUCUUUGAGACAAAUAGGCCUUAAGAAGAACCAUUAAAGACCUUAGAAAGAAAAAGUGAGUAUACAAACAAAUGCACCAAAAUACCAAACCUCCCAACAACUCAAAAGACCGGCUGAUUAGCUGAAUUAACAAUAGCUUUCGAGUUAAUUUGUGUGUUGGAAGAUCAAGCUGAGCAAUUCUCCUAGGGCACGGGGAAAAAGACAAGGCUAUAAAAAAUGCUAAAGGAAAAGCAAGAGACAUGAAAUGCAGGAAUUGUAACUCGCCCUAAAAAAGUUGAAUCAUUCAAAAAAAUGUUCAUGGCAGCUUUACUUACCACAGUCAAGGUCUCCAUCAGCAGGGGAGUAAGUAAACGAACUGGGCACAGUUAUGCGACAAAACACUCACCAGAAACAAAAAGGAACAGGCUGGAGACACACGCCACCUGAAGGGGUGUCAGACCUGCGAGCAAGGCCAUCUGCGAGAGGGCUCACGGCAUGCGCCUGCUUACACGAGGUUCUAGUGUGACAGAAACCAGAGCAGUGCUUGGCUCGGUGGAAAAAGGCAGGAGGGAACUCAGUGAGAUAAUGGAAUUAACAAGUUAGAGCGUAAUAAAAAAAAAUCUAUUAUAGACACACAAAAAUUCUGUACCUCCAAACCCAGAGAUUAGAUACUGUUUUCAAACACAUGCGGAGACGCUGUCAACUAGGAACUGUAUUUUGGAUUACAUGGAAAUUUCCAAAAAUUCCCCAAAGGCAGAAAAUAAUUACAAAGAAAUUCAUAGUUGAAAUGUAAGAUCAUAAAUAAACAACAAUAACAGCUCUCUAUAUCUAAAUCCAUAGGAUACGGUCAAAGUGGUAUGCACAGAAAAACACGUAGCCUUACAACUGCUUAUUAACCAACCAAGUGGACUGAAAUAAGCUUUAAGUUUGGGAAAGCAGAAAAGCAGGUGAUGAAUACCAAAAGAGCAGGUUCUCCAAAAGAGUAACAAGGUAAGACCUUCAGUAAGUCGAAUUGAGGAAAAAAGACAAACUAGAAGUAAACAUUAGCAAUGUGAGUAAAUGAAGACAGACAUGGAGAUCAAAUAACUUGCACAAGUUAUUCAAAAUUUUCAGAAAAUUUAGAAGAAAUGGAUACUCCUCUAUCUAAAAACAUAGCUAAAAUUGGCUCAAAGGGAGGGAAAAAACUUACAAACCCAAGAUUACAAAAGCAAUAGUAAAAGUAGUCAAAAGAUCUCUCUCUCAAAAGUUAACAGUUCAAGAUCCUGCCGUACAGCACAGGGAACUGUAUCUAGUCACUUGUGAUGGAACAUGAUGGAGGAUAAUGUGAGAAAAAGAAUACACAGGGGUGUGUGUGUGUGUGUGUGUGUGUGUGUGUGUGUGUGUGUGUGUGUACUGGGUCACGUUGCUGUCCAGGAGAAACUUGACAGAACACUGUAAACCAACUAUAAUGGAAAGAAUAAAGAUCAUUAAAAAAAAGUUAACAGUUCACAUGGUUUUAUAAAUAAGUACUACCAAAUUUAAGAAACCAACACUGUCUAUGUUAUAAAAACUCUUUCAGAGCAUAGGCAAAUUUAGACUCCCUAACCCAUCUCAUGGGGACGCCAACUUGGAUACCAAAUCCAGACACACAUCGCAGAAGAAAGUAAAGGCCAAUGUCACUAAUAGAUACAUAUGAAAAUAGUUUCAAUGAAACAGAAGCAAAUCAACUUCCUAGUAUUAAGAAGCACAUCAUGAUUAAAGAGAAAUUUAAGGAUGGUUCGAUGUGUAAAAUUCCUUUAAUAGAUCUUAUUAACGUCAACAGAUUAAAGGAGUCACAUGACAAUCUCAACAGAGGCAGGAGAAACAUUCUGCUAAGAUCAAGAAUAUUUUUUACUAAAAAAACUUAUAACAACUCUUAUCCAAUAAGAAAUAAACUGUUUCUAUAAGAAACUUCCAGCAAAACUAUAUUUAAUGAUCAAAUAAAAGUAUCCCUGAAUACAGUCAGGAGCAAGAGAGAAAUGCCAACUAUCACCACUAAUGUUCAAGAUUGAGCCGGAGAUCUUGGACAACGUAAGAACGCAAGAAAAAGACUGGGAUAAAUACUUGAAAGCAAGAGAUAAAUUUCACAAUUUGCAGAUGCUACUGACUGGCUACUGAGAAAUGUUAAGAGAACUGACUGAAGAACGUAUUGGACGUCUAUGAUAGAGUUCAGCAAUGCGAGAAGAUGAAGGAGACUGCCGCACAGAGAGUCAGCACCCCUUUCUAUCUGCCACGUGCACUGAGAAAAGCUGGCAAAACUCCAUUCACAGUAGCAACCAAAACAAGCACACAGAAAUUAAAUUUUAAACGCCUAAUUCUUUAUAAAGAAACAGUAAGACUCUCCUGCAAGACAUAAAAGAUACAUGGAAAACAUACCGUGUUCCUAAAAAAGACUCAUAUUUUCCAACUUCCACAAAUUACUUUCCUUUUUUUCUCCUUCUUUUGUCUUUUUAGGGCCACACCCAUGGCAUAUGGAGCGGCCCAAGAAAUGGCAAAAAGACAAAAAAAAAAAAAAAAAAAGAAAAAGAAAAAGAAAAAGAUCUCAGUGGACCAGAUUUAACAGUAACCAAGAAAAUUACUAAACUGGAAGACGGGCCAAAAGACACUACCUAGAAUACAACAUCAAGAGACAAAGAGAGAGAAAACAGUGGUUGUGGUGAGGAUUUAUCACAUAUUUAACUGGAGUUCCAAGAGAACCGGGAGAGAGAAAACGAGACAGAGGAGGAGUUUACAGAUAAGGGCUCCGAGAAUUCCAGAAGCCCAGCAGAGAUUCCAAACCCGACAAUGACAAAAAAGACAUCCCCAUCAAGACAUUUUAUAGUAGAACUUCAGAAGACCAGAGAUAAAGAUAAAUACCUUGAAAGCAGCCAGAAAACAUCGGACAGCUUAUUUUAAAAUGAGCAACAGCUGAACUUGCGAAAUGAGGCAGAACAUGGUGGACAAUAACUUCAAUACGCAGGAGGAAAACAACCGCCAACUUAGAGAGACUUCCACGCCCAAUGAAAACAUCCUCCAAGAGUUACACGAAUACAGGCAUCUUUAGACAAAGCGCAUUUGGGAAAUUUAGAAGGAGGAAUUGGGUUACAUUUAAGAACUGUUCAUCAACAGUCACUGUAGCAUAAGCAGGAGAGCAGAAUGACGAAGCCGAAGUUAACUUACAGCACCCUGGCCUAAGGAUCAGUGGCAUUCAGAAGAGGGAAUAUGAAAGACAGACACCCCGACAGAAAAAGAUGGGCAACCGGUCAAGGCAUUUCUCAAGACGGGAAAUUUAAGUGGCCAAGAAACAAACGUAAGAAAAGACCACCAGCCUCACCAGGAUCAGGGAAACAGGAAGUAAAUUCACAGCGACACAGCAUCAACACUCGCCAGCCAGCAAAAGUUUUCGGGUCCGAUGAUAGAAUCAGUGAAGACAGGGAGGGAAAACUUCAUGAACCACCUCCUUGUGGGAGUAUCAGUGUACAGUCAUCUUGGAAAACAGCUGGGCCUUGUCUGAGAAGCACACACUCUGGGACCAAGAUAUUCCAUUCCUUGGCAUGUACCCUGGAGAAACUUGCAGAUGUUUUUUAAAAAGACACAGACAAGAAUUGUCAUAGAUUCACAGCUCUUAAAAUAACCCAAAUGUUUAUCAAUAAUAAAGAUGAAUAAUUAAACAGUGUCAUGUAUAGACAUAUAACACUAUACGAGGAAAAUGAAUCACCUAUAGCUAUACCCAAAAUAGAGAUGAAAUUCAAAGACAACAUUAACCCAAAGUGGCAAGUCACAAAAGAAUACAUGUGGUAUAAUUCCACUUCCGUAAAAUACAAAACAGGCAAAACUAAGCUACAUGCGUGCAGACGAGGUCAAGCUGUUAAAAAGAACAAACAAACGAUUAUUACAAAAGUCAGGAUAGUGGUAAUGGGAGAGAGCGAAUUUAAUUGGGGUGGAAAACCUGGAGCUUUCUGGGGGUGCCGGCAAUGUUCUACAUCUUAUUCUUAUAGUAAUUAAAAUAUUUCUUUAAAUGGCAAUAUGUUUAUAUACUUUAUCUCAAAAAAUAAUCUGGCAGGAGGCAAUUUGUGCAAACUUUAAAAACUGGGGGUAUUUACAAUACUUAAAGAAAUCUGGCCUAUUAGACUAACAAUUCAGCUUUCUAAAUUCAUUUUAAAAUGCAUAGUUGAGUAAUCAACUUUGACGUAAUUUUUAAGUAAAAUGUUACUAAGUUAUAGGAGGCACUGAAAUACUCAAGUGAACUCAAGGUUCUACAUAUUUAUUAAGAGCUUAAGUUAUUAUAUUUUUAGGAGAGAUAUUUAGUACUUGAGAAGGUUUUAAAUCAGGGUACUUAGAUUCUUGAAAUGGUAACAAUAUAUUGACUUUAUAAAUGAAGUCUAAAAUAUUUCUUGGUUUUAAGCUGUAAAUGGGAUUACUUAUUAUCUAAAAGCUCCUUACUUAAGGUAUUUGCUAAAAUUUGCCAAAUUCAUCAGUAGAAAAAUAAAAUUCCAGAGGUUGACUUGAAUAGUUUAAGAAAGAACUAACUCUUUGGGUUUCUAUCUUUAAGAAGUCAAAUACUAAUUUUUAAAAGCUAAUAAUCUUUUUCUACCAACUUGUUUGUAAGAGGCAAAACAAUUCACACUAUCUCUUUUCCCUACCAUAUAAAAACAACAACCAAAAAACCUAUGCCGGAAGAUUUUGGUGGUACGUUUCAAUUAGAAUUUGUCUAGGAUUAUAAUAAAAAGUAUAAACCACCUGAUAGCUGAUAUAACAUAGAAUACUCUCAAAGUAGGUAUUCUUUACUUUGGGGGGUGGGGAAGUCACAGCCCAACCUGAGUACCUGACAAGUGCUAUGGAACUCACAGAAGGAUGCAUCUUGAUACACAAAGAAACUUCUGGAAUAAAUAAAAUAUUCAAAGAUGUCUUGAAAAGACUACAAGAGUGUAAGGACCCACUCUCUCUCAUACCACUGGCCAAUUACAAAAUCACAGUUGAAGUUAUUUUAGGAACAGCAUCUAGUAAAACGUUCAUAUGUGUUUUUAUGUUUUCAAGUCAGACAGUUAAUGCCUUUGUGGUAAAAAGUUUACUUAUUUUGUUUUCAUUUGUCACUUAGAGAUGGAUAAAGUAUUACUUUUUACCUAUUAAAUAAGCAAAGUUUUUAAAAAAUAUAUUGGCAGGGGUGAGAGGAAUUGUAAGACAUUAUCAUACACCACAGGCAGGAAUACAUAGUUCCAUGGCCUUCCUGUGAAACAAUCUGGAAGUUCAUAUAAAAACUACAACUAAAAACUUAUCUUAACACCAUCACCUUGGAUGUGUACAAUAUAUUGCAAGAAUGUUCAUCAAAAGCGUUUCUUCUAAUACCUAAUUAAAAUGACCAGCAAAUGGAGGGGUAAAUAACACGUACUGCAAUGGAACAUGAUGCCAGAAGUUAAAGUAUAUUUAAGAACAGUAUUUAGUGGUAUGAAAAUGCUCGUGGAUCUACUGCUAAGAGAAUAAAGGAUUACUUUCUCCAUUGCGUGAUCUCAUUUUUUUUUUUAAGAAGGAAAAGCAUUUUUCUAUACAACAGAAAAAAGACUAGAAUGGGUCUAUGACAAAUUUUUAAUGUGGAGGAAGUCCAUGUAUUUCUCUUUUUCUAGUCUUAAAGUGUAAUAACAAGGAAAAAACUCAGUAAUUUAUUAGAUUACAUCCCCUGUUUAUCUUGACUUCUGACUUACUGUAAGAAUGAAGUAUCAAUUCUCUGAGUUUUACUUAUUACUGUUGUUACCUAAGCACUUAAAAGAAUUAUUCAGUUAUGUGUGGUAAUUAAGAAAAACCAAGAUGUACCACGUCUAUAAUGUAGGGUAAAGAACCAAGAAACUCUAAGUUAUGAGCUAUCGACUGAACCUGACUGACUCUCAAAAUAAGAAAACAAGUUCCCAUGGCUGAAAUAAAUUUGACAGCUACUUUCUAUACCAGGGGCGAAUGCUGAUUACAGCCCAUGAUUUGAAAUAUCACUGAUGCUGACUAGUUUUGGUCACGUUAGAGGUGGUCUAUCCAGUGGGAGAUAAUACAAAAUAAAUAGUUGGUCUUUGUCCCUGGUUCCUGGCACGCAUCUCCUAAAACCCUUGAAAUCUCCAAAGUGAUGAGGAGAUGACUGGGGCUGGGGGCCCUCGAAGCGUCAGGAUGGGAGUGGCUCACCAUAGAGACCAAGGCAUGAUUACAGGGUUCGAGCUUUCCGUCCCACCGACCUCACAAAACCUCCAGGGAGAGGAAAGGAGCUAGAGUUAAUCACCAAUGGCCAAUUACUUAAUCAGUUGUGCCUCCGUAACGAAAGCUCCAGAGUAACCCCCUACGGGUUGGGCUUCUGGGUGGGUGAGCACAUCAAGCUGCUGGGAGGCUGGUGUACCCCGAGAGGGCACCAAAGCUCCGUGCCACCCCCUUUCCAGCAUACCCUGCCCUAGGCAUCUCUUCUAUUUUCCUGAGUUAGAGGCUUUAUAAACCUGGUGAUGGCAAGUACUUUUUUGAGUUCUGUGAGCCAUUCUAGCAAACUGCGGAACCUGAAGAGGAGGUCAUGGGAGCC